rnacentral:tRNA from 1 species
GAGCCCAUGGCUCAAUGGUUAGAGCGUUUGACUUCUGAUCCAUGUGUCGUGGGUUCG